rnacentral:rRNA from 1 species
UGGGGAAUAUUGCACAAUGGGCGCAAGCCUGAUGCAGCCAUGCCGCGUGUGUGAAGAAGGCCUUCGGGUUGUAAAGCACUUUCAGCGAGGAGGAAAGGUGGUGAGCUUAAUACGCUCAUCAAUUGACGUUACUCGCAGAAGAAGCACCGGCUAACUCCGUGCCAGCAGCCGCGGUAAUACGGAGGGUGCAAGCGUUAAUCGGAAUUACUGGGCGUAAAGCGCACGCAGGCGGUUUGUUAAGUCAGNUGUGAAAUCCCCGGGCUCAACCUGGGAACUGCAUUUGAAACUGGCAAGCUAGAGUCUCGUAGAGGGGGGUAGAAUUCCAGGUGUAGCGGUGAAAUGCGUAGAGAUUUGGAGGAAUACCGGUGGCAAGGCGGCCCCCCUGGACGAAGACUGACGCUCAGGUGCGAAAAGCGUGGGGGCAGCAAAACAGGAUUAGAUACCCUGGUAGUCCACGCUGU